UGGUGUGCAUUAUAUUUUAAAGGUUCCAAACGCCGUCUUCGUGUGACUUUCCUCUUUCCCAUAAUGGUAGUUUCUGGAUUCUUUAUCGGUUUGGUACCGGUUCUUUUGGUAUUUCUUUUUGUUAAAUUGGUUCGACAUUUGGUUUGUUAUAAAUUCGGGCCGAGUUAGAUUACUUACACGGUUACUCACCUACCGAAAUGAAACGCUUCUCAUAUAAGAUACUAAUAAAAAAUAUUUAAAAAAUUCUAACAUGUAAUUUUUGUAGUAA